UACAGGGGGUGCAAACGUUGCUCGGAAUUAUUGGGCGUAAAGCGCGCGUAGGCGGUUGCUUAAGUCGGAUGUGAAAGCCCUUGGCUUAACCGAGGAAGUGCAUCCGAAACUGAGCAGCUUGAGUAUGACAGAGGGUCGCGGAAUUCCUGGUGUAGAGGUGAAAUUCGUAGAUAUCGGGAGGAACACCGGUGGCGAAGGCGGCGACCUGGGUCAAAACUGACGCUGAGGCGCGAAAGCGUGGGGAGCAAACAGGAUUAGAUACCCUGGUAGUCCACGCCGUAAACGAUGGGUGCUAGAUGUUGCUGGUAUUGACCCCGGCUGCGUCGAAGCUAACGCGUUAAGCACCCCGCCUGGGGAGUACGGCCGCAAGGCUAAA
rnacentral:rRNA from 1 species